rnacentral:rRNA from 1 species
GGCGGCGUGCCUAACACAUGCAAGUCGAGCGGUAACAGGUGUAGCAAUACAUGCUGACGAGCGGCGAACGGGUGAGUAAUGCUUUGGAAUCUUCCCAGUAGUGGGGAAUAACCAGUCGAAAGAUUGGCUAAUACCGCAUACGUCUGUAAAGGGAAAGCGGGGGCUCGUAAGACCUCGCGCUAUUGGAUGAGCCAAAGUCGGAUUAGCUAGUUGGUGGGGUAAUGGCCUACCAAGGCGACAAUCCGUAGCUGGUCUGAGAGGACGACCAGCCACACCGGAACUGAGACACGGUCCGGACUCCUACGGGAGGCAGCAGUGGGGAAUAUUGGACAAUGGGGGAAACCCUGAUCCAGCGACGCCGCGUGUGUGAAGAAGGCCUGCGGGUUGUAAAGCACUUUUAGUGGGGACAAAAAGCUACGGAUUAAUACUCUGUGGUCUUGAUUUAACCCAAAGAAAAAGCACCGGCUAACUCUGUGCCAGCAGCCGCGGUAAUACAGAGGGUGCGAGCGUUAAUCGGAAUUACUGGGCGUAAAGCGCGCGUA